GCCGGAGUGGCGGAACGGCAGACGCGCUGCGUUCAGGGCGCAGUGGGCGCAAGCCCGUGGGGGUUCAAAUCCCUCCUCCGGCACCA
rnacentral:tRNA from 2 species